rnacentral:rRNA from 1 species
CCUACGGGAGGCAGCAGUAGGGAAUAUUGCUCAAUGGGGGAAACCCUGAAGCAGCAACGCCGCGUGGAGGCUGAAGGUUUUCGGAUUGUAAACUCCUUUUGGUAGAGAAGAGAAUGACGGUAUCUAACGAAUAAGCACCGGCUAACUCCGUGCCAGCAGCCGCGGUAAUGCGGAGGGGGCAAGCGUUACUCGGAAUCACUGGGCGUAAAGAGGGCGUAGGCGGGAUAGCAAGUCAGCUGUGAAAUCCUGUGGCUUAACCCUAGAACUGCAUUUGAAACUGUUAUUCUAGAGUAUGGGAGAGGUAGGUGGAAUUCUUGGUGUAGGGGUUAAAUCCGUAGAGAUCAGGUGGACUACUCAUUGCGAAGGCGACCUGCUAGACCAUACCUGACGCUGAUGCGCGAAAGCGUGGGGAGCAAACAGGAUUAGAUACCCUGGUAGUC